rnacentral:rRNA from 1 species
GACAGAGGGUGCAAACGUUGUUCGGAAUUACUGGGCGUAAAGCGCGCGUAGGCGGCUUUGCAAGUCGGGUGUGAAAUCCCCAGGCUUAACCUGGGAACUGCAUUCGAGACUGCAUUGCUAGAGUAUGGGAGAGGGAAGUGGAAUUUCCGGUGGUAGCGGUGAAAUGCGUAGAUAUCGGAAGGAACAUCAGUGGCGAAAGCGACUUCCUGGACCAAUACUGACGCUCAUGUGCGAAAGCG